rnacentral:rRNA from 1 species
AUUGAACGCUGGCGGCAGGCCUAACACAUGCAAGUCGAACGAGUGGCGGACGGGUGAGUUAUGUAUGGGAAACUGCCUGAUGGAGGGGGAUAACUACUGGAAACGGUAGCCAAAACCGCAUACCAUCGGAUGUGCCCAGGUGGGAUUAGCUAGUGGGUGGGGUAAAGGCGCACCUAGGCGACGAUCCCGAGCUGGUCUGAGAGGAUGACCAGCCACACUGGAACUGAGACACGGUCCAGACUCCUACGGGAGGCAGCAGUGGGGAAUAUUGCACAAUGGGCGAAAGCCUGAUGCAGCCAUGCCGCGUGUGUGAAGAAGGCCUUCGGGUUGUAAAGUACUUUCAGCGGGGAGGCGUUACCAGCAGAAGAAGCACCGGCUAACUCCGUGCCAGCAGCCGCGGUAAUUC